rfam:Salmo salar isolate Sally breed double haploid chromosome ssa23, whole genome shotgun sequence.
CCCUGUAGCUCAGUUGGUAGAGCAUUGUGUUUGCAACACCAGGGUUGUGGGUUUGCUUCCCACAGGGG